UGGAGACAAGGUUUCAUCACGUUGGCCAGUCUGGUCUCAAACUCCUGACCUCAAGUGAUCCACCUGCCUGGGCCUCCCAAAGUGCUGGGAUUACAGGUGUGAGCCACCACACCCGGUCACAUCUAAGUUAUUUUUAUCUACACAAAACACUUUUGGAGGAAAAUAUCUGAGAAAAUGUUCAUGUAACCUGGACCUCAACAGGUUGGAUGAUGCCCCCUAUGUUGGAGAGGGCCAUUGACUUUACCGAGUCCACUGAUUCGAAUGCUCAUCUCAUCUGGAAACACCGUCCCAGACACACCAAGAAACACUGUUUAAUCUGGGCACCCCUGGGCCCAGUCAAGUUGACACAUCAAGUUAACCGUCACACUAUCUCAUAUGUUUGCUGUAUUUCAUAUCUCAUAUUGAGCACUUAAAGCGUGCUCAAUAAAUAUCAGGUAUUAUUAUCACUGGUAAAACAAGUGGAGCUGGGAUCCAAAUCCCUAUUUCUUAUGCUCCAAAUUUUGUGUUUUUUCUACCCCUCCACCCUGCCUCUAUAAGUGGUGCUGAUCUGUAACAAUUAUAGGCUUUUUGCUUCUCUCAUUAUCAUUGCUUUUCUCUCCUGACACAUGUUCAGCAGCAGCUUUCCAUGCAAACCCCUCAUUUGUGACAGACAUUGACAACACUCAAGGGAUCCUCCCGGCCUCAGAGAGGAGCAGUUGAGAGCUUCCAGUGCAGUAAACAAGCAGGAGGUGGGCUGACAGGGCGGGCAGCUGGUAUCUCACACAAUCGCAACAGUGAUGGGUCUGAGCUGAGCAGACUGCUCUCUAGAGAGGCUGGAAUCCCUGGGAAGUGGCAAAUGCUUGCAUGCAGUCAGGGGAUUGCACAUCGCUGCAGACAGCCUAUCUGUGCAAGUGGAUGAGAGAGGCUUUCUCUUAGGUGUCUCAAGAAGAUCUCAUCCUCAACACAAAUUAUGGCUUGAAAAUAAUAGCAACAGAACUGGUUAAAAAUGAAACUUAACACCUGGCAAGAGGUGUAUUCCUGCCAGAGGCUCUUUAAGUUGGCCUCUGCAAGUGACAUUUCUAAGUAGGAGGAUCUGUGCUUGGCAUCCUUGCAGACAGUUGAUUGCUUAAAGAGUUUCAUAUCCACUGUGACCAAAGUUCAUAGAGAAAGCUGUACCUGGUAGUUCCAUUAUUUAAAAACAAAACACUCUAUCAUCAUUUGAAAUCUUUAUUAGUCAGGAAAAGCUAGGUUAUACAGCAAUAGCAAGCAUUCCCAUAUUAGUGGCUCUUACAAUAUUUUGUUUUGUUUUUGUUUUUCAUUUGUUUUUUGAGACAGAGUUUUGCCCUUUUGCCCAGGCUGGAGUGAAGUCGUGCGAUCUCGGCUCACUGCAACCUCUGCCCCCGAGCCGCUGCCACCCAGUUCAAGCGAUUCUCUUGCCUCAGCCUCCUGAGUAGCUAGGAUUAUAGGCGCCCACCACCAUGCCCAGCUAAUUUUUUGUAUUUUUAGUAGAGAUGGGGUUUUGCCAUGUUGGCCAGGCUGUUCUCAAACUCCUGGCCUCAGGCGAUCCACCCGCCUCAGCCUCCUAAAGUGCCAGGAUUACAAGCGUGAGCCACGGCACCUGACCACAUGGUUUUAUCACUUUCAGUUGACAUAAAUCCAGUAAAUUUAUAGCUCCUCUCAUUCUUAGUAAUAUCUACUUUUUAUUGAAUAUCUACAGUGUGGUAAUCAUAAGACAAAUUUUAUACACAUACUAUCUCCUUUAACCUAACUCUGGGAAGUAGGUAUUAAUCUCUUUUUUGAAGAUGUGAAAAUCGAGACUCAAGUUCAGUGAGUAGGUGGCUGACUGGGUUCUAGAACCAAGUUUUUCUAAUGCUAACCUGUUAUUUUACUACCACGUUACGCUGUUCUCUCAAACUCUGAGAUUUUUACUUUUAAAUAUAUAUUCACUAAUGUUGUCUCUUUAAUAUUCCUAG
rnacentral:lncRNA from 10 species